UGUUUUUGUUAAGUGUAUUCUAGAUUCUCUGGACAUAGCACUGAAAAACAUUAAAAUGACACAAACCAAUUAAUUCCUAAGAUCGAUUGGUUGGCACGUCACUAGUUCAGCAAUUAUGAUUUUACAACCAGUUCUCAUCACCAGUUGUGGAUGGACGACGUCCUGAGGGUGGCGCUUUGAAGUGAUGAGGUUUUGAGUGACCUUCUAUGAAGAUUAAGGUCACUGGAUUGGUCUGUCUUAAGAGGUGAAGUUAUCAAACCAAGAGUGCUUACAUUGACAGCUUGAGGCACAGGACUAAUUUCUACUGCAUUUGGCAACAUGAGUAUGAAUCACUUGAUCCACCAAGACUUGAACGAGCUGUGGAGGACAAGUAGUUGGUACCUGACAAAGGCCACUGUGAUGGGCAUUACUUGCACCGGGUACCACCUGGAAAACUCGCAGUUGUGCCCCGAGUGAU